rnacentral:lncRNA from 1 species
AGUGUAAAUUCCCUUUUAACUCUUUUUUUCCAGAUUAAAUUAUCUUCACUGCUGUUUCUGUUACAUCUUAAUUGAAUCCAGAUCCUCAUACACACACUGCUGCUAUACAAACCUUGCCAUGCCCAAGGUUCAGGAUGAGAAUGAACAAAAAUACCAGGAACUUUCAGCACCCACAUCUUCUUCCAGCCCUGAAGCUCUCCAUGUGUAUGUACCAUCAGUACAAGACACCUGUACCAACAGCCCUUCCUAGAAGCCUCCCAUCAGGCAGCAGCAGCAGCAGCUCCUUAGUGCCUCAAACUCAGAAUGCGAAGGUCCUUUUUCCUUCAGGGGGAGUUGCACAAGAGCCAAGAACAUAGAUAUAUAAUGAAGGUUGGAUUUUAUUCCUCCAGCUCUUAAAAUUCACAUCUCUCCAAAGAUGGUGACUUUGAGUCUUCUUUUCCUGUUUUUUUUUCUCUAUUGUGUUAAAAAUAGAAAUUGUCUCAUCAAGUGUUUUAUCCUGAGUCUGGUCUCUUCUCAUUUGUUUUUAUAAACAUGAUUGAGUUUUUGAAAGGAAAUUUGGAUUUAUAAAUAUGUGACUUUAAGCUAUGUUUGAG